GGGGGAGAGAGGAUCCGGUGGAUCCGUGAGGGGAGACUCGAAACCCAGGGGACCCGACCCUCUGUAGACGGUGGCCUGAACCGAAAAACCGGCGGUUCCAGUGGAUUUCCGGUGAAGACCCGUGAGACCCGCAACCCAGAACCCUUCAGACCCGCAACCCAGUGACCCGCGACCCGAAGAUCCAGAAAACCCGGUUCUCUAAGGGCGUUUUCCGGCGACUUCCAGUGGUGAUUCCCGGCGGUCCCAGUAGCGGUUUCCGGCGAGUCGUGACCCGCAUGUGUGCGAAACUCGUGCAACCCAAAACUCGUGACCCGUGACCCGCUGAACCGUGUGGAAGACCCGGUCCUUCAAGAGUGAUUUUACGGCGAGUUUUCCGGCAGUCCAGUAGCGAUUUCCGGUGGAUUUUCUAGGAAAAUCCUCUAGGAUCAUGUUCGGAUUGGAGACUUUAAUUGGUUCUCCAAUGUAGAGUCCAAGUGACUAGAGUCCAAGGAGUGUUCGAGUUGGAGUCCAAUGCAGCCAAGAUGGUGUUUCUUUGGCUGCAGGUACUACGGUAUAGUCGAUGGGUCGGUAGCAGUGUGCUUGGGAUAUUAUGACUGAAGCUCACCGCGACAGUUGUAAUUGUCGGAUCACGGGUUGUCCACUAUUUUAUAGGUUUGGUAUGGCUUGUGACGUUUGUGUCACUUAUUCUUUGUUAAGCCAUUAUUGUUAUUGUGUUAAUAAGACUUAAGCAUAUAGAUGUUAAAUGGCUCUUUGUUAUAAUUAACUUAUAAUAGAUGUAUAAGUUGUAAUUUCCGCUAUUCAGAUUUA